GCCGGGCGUGGUGGCGAGCAACUGUAGUCCCAGCUACUCGGGAGGCUGAGGCAGGAGAAUGGUGGGAACCCGGAGGAGCUUGCAGUGAGCUGAGAUCCGGCCACUGCACUCCCAGCCUGGGCUCGACUCCAAAAAAAAAAAAAAAAAAAAAAAAGAAAUAAUUUAUUUUAGAUUUUUUUUGUUUUGUUUUGUUUUUGUUUUUUGAGACGGAGUCUAGCUCUGUCGCCCAGGCUGGAGUGCAGUGGCCGGUCUCAGCUCACUGCAAGCUCCGCCUCCCGGGUUCACGCCACUCUCCUGCCUCAG
rnacentral:SRP_RNA from 1 species